GACGAACGCUGGCGGCGUGCCUAACACAUGCAAGUCGAACGCAGUGGGGACGGGUGAGUAACACGUGGGUAACCUCCCAUCAGAGGGGAUAACACUUGGAAACCGGUGCUAAACCGCUACUGAUGGAUGGACCCGCGGUGCAUUAGCUAGUUGGUGAGGUAACGGCUCACCGAGUCCACGAUGCAUACCCGGCCUGAGAGGUGGAUCGGCCACACUGGGACUGAGACACGGCCCAGACUCCUACGUGAGGAAGCAGUAGGGAAUCUUCGGCAAUGGACGAAAGUCUGACCGAGCAACGCCGCGUGAGUGAAGAAGGUUUUCGGAUCGUAAAACUCUGUUGUUAGAGAAGCGGUAUCUAACCAGAAAGCCACGGCUAACUACGUGCCAGCCGCCGCGGUAAUAC
rnacentral:rRNA from 1 species